rnacentral:rRNA from 1 species
GGGCUGCAGUGAGGAAUAUUGGUCAAUGGGCGCAAGCCUGAACCAGCCAUGCCGCGUGCAGGAUGACGGUCCUAUGGAUUGUAAACUGCUUUUAUACGAGAAGAAACACUCCUUCGUGAAGGAGCUUGACGGUAUCGUAAGAAUAAGGAUCGGCUAACUCCGUGCCAGCAGCCGCGGUAAUACGGAGGAUCCAAGCGUUAUCCGGAAUCAUUGGGUUUAAAGGGUCCGUAGGCGGUUAGAUAAGUCAGUGGUGAAAGCCCAUCGCUCAACGGUGGAACGGCCAUUGAUACUGUUUAACUUGAAUUAUUAGGAAGUAACUAGAAUAUGUAGUGUAGCGGUGAAAUGCUUAGAGAUUACAUGGAAUACCAAUUGCGAAGGCAGGUUACUACUAAUGGAUUGACGCUGAUGGACGAAAGCGUGGGUAGCGAACAGGAUUAGAUACCCGUGUAGUC